rnacentral:rRNA from 1 species
GACGAACGCUGGCGGCGUGCUUAACACAUGCAAGUCGAACGGAAAGGCCCUGCUUUUGUGGGGUGCUCGAGUGGCGAACGGGUGAGUAACACGUGAGUAACCUGCCCUUGACUUUGGGAUAACUUCAGGAAACUGGGGCUAAUACCGGAUAGGAGCUCCUGCUGCAUGGUGGGGGUUGGAAAGUUUCGGCGGUUGGGGAUGGACUCGCGGCUUAUCAGCUUGUUGGUGGGGUAGUGGCUUACCAAGGCUUUGACGGGUAGCCGGCCUGAGAGGGUGACCGGCCACAUUGGGACUGAGAUACGGCCCAGAAUCCUACGGGAGGCAGCAGUGGGGAACCUUGCACAACGGGCGGAAGCCUGAUGCAGCAACGCUGCGUGCGGGAUGACGGCCUUCGGGUUGUAAACCGCUUUCGCAUGUGACGAAGCGUGAGUGACGGUAAUGGGUAAAGAAGCACCGGCUAACUACGUG